rnacentral:rRNA from 1 species
UUAAGCGACUAAGCGUACACGGUGGAUGCCCUGGCAGUCAGAGGCGAUGAAGGGCGUGCUAAUCUGCGAUAAGCGCCGGUAAGGUGAUAUGAACCGUUAUAACCGGCGAUACCCGAAUGGGGAAACCCAGUGUGAUUCGUCACACUAUCAUUAACUGAAUCCAUAGGUUAAUGAGGCGAACCGGGGGAACUGAAACAUCUAAGUACCCCGAGGAAAAGAAAUCAACCGAGAUUCCCCCAGUAGCGGCGAGCGAACGGGGAGGAGCCCAGAGCCUGAAUCAGCAUGUGUGUUAGUGGAAGCGUCUGGAAAGGCGCGCGAUACAGGGUGACAGCCCCGUACACAAAAGCGCAUGUGCUGUGAGCUCGAUGAGUAGGGCGGGACACGUGGUAUCCUGUCUGAAUAUGGGGGGACCAUCCUCCAAGGCUAAAUACUCCUGACUGACCGAUAGUGAACCAGUACCGUGAGGGAAAGGCGAAAAGAACCCCGGCGAGGGGAGUGAAAAAGAACCUGAAACCGUGUACGUACAAGCAGUGGGAGCCCCACCACUAAGCCAGUGGUGAACUCCACAUACGCAUCCUUUGCUGAGGAUACGGUUAACGGAGCGAAAGCGACGUUCAACCGCAAAAAAAGAAGCAGAGGGGGCUUAGUGGUGGGGUGACUGCGUACCUUUUGUAUAAUGGGUCAGCGACUUAUAUUCUGUAGCAAGGUUAACCGCAUAGGGGAGCCGGAGGGAAACCGAGUCUUAAUUGGGCGUUAAGUUGCAGGGUAUAGACCCGAAACCCGGUGAUCUAGCCAUGGGCAGGUUGAAGGUUGGGUAACACUAACUGGAGGACCGAACCGACUAAUGUUGAAAAAUUAGCGGAUGACCUGUGGCUGGGGGUGAAAGGCCAAUCAAACCGGGAGAUAGCUGGUUCUCCCCGAAAGCUAUUUAGGUAGCGCCUCGUGAAUUCAUCUCCGGGGGUAGAGCACUGUUUCGGCUAGGGGGGCCAUCCCGGCUUACCAACCCGAUGCAAACUGCGAAUACCGGAGAAUGUUAUCACGGGAGACACACGGCGGGUGCUAACGUCCGUCGUGAAGAGGGAAACAACCCAGACCGCCAGCUAAGGUCCCAAAGUCAUGGUUAAGUGGGAAACGAUGUGGGAAGGCCCAGACAGCCAGGAUGUUGGCUUAGAAGCAGCCAUCAUUUAAAGAAAGCGUAAUAGCUCACUGGUCGAGUCGGCCUGCGCGGAAGAUGUAACGGGGCUAAACCAUGCACCGAAGCUGCGGCAGCGACGCUGAUGCGUUGUUGGGUAGGGGAGCGUUCUGUAAGCCUGCGAAGGUGUGUCGUGAGGCAUGCUGGAGGUAUCAGAAGUGCGAAUGCUGACAUAAGUAACGAUAAAGCGGGUGAAAAGCCCGCUCGCCGGAAGACCAAGGGUUCCUGUCCAACGUUAAUCGGGGCAGGGUGAGUCGACCCCUAAGGCGAGGCCGAAAGGCGUAGUCGAUGGGAAACGGGUUAAUAUUCCCGUACUUGGUGUUACUGCGAAGGGGGGACGGAGAAGGCUAUGUUGGCCGGGCGACGGUUGUCCCGGUUUAAGCGUGUAGGUGUGUGUUCCAGGUAAAUCCGGUUCACUUUAACACUGAGGCGUGAUGACGAGGCACUACGGUGCUGAAGCAACAAAUGCCCUGCUUCCAGGAAAAGCCUCUAAGCAUCAGGUAACAUCAAAUCGUACCCCAAACCGACACAGGUGGUCAGGUAGAGAAUACCAAGGCGCUUGAGAGAACUCGGGUGAAGGAACUAGGCAAAAUGGUGCCGUAACUUCGGGAGAAGGCACGCUGACACGUAGGUGAAGUGAUUUACUCAUGGAGCUGAAGUCAGUCGAAGAUACCAGCUGGCUGCAACUGUUUAUUAAAAACACAGCACUGUGCAAACACGAAAGUGGACGUAUACGGUGUGACGCCUGCCCGGUGCCGGAAGGUUAAUUGAUGGGUCAGCGCAAGCGAAGCUCCUGAUCGAAGCCCCGGUAAACGGCGGCCGUAACUAUAACGGUCCUAAGGUAGCGAAAUUCCUUGUCGGGUAAGUUCCGACCUGCACGAAUGGCGUAAUGAUGGCCAGGCUGUCUCCACCCGAGACUCAGUGAAAUUGAACUCGCUGUGAAGAUGCAGUGUACCCGCGGCAAGACGGAAAGACCCCGUGAACCUUUACUAUAGCUUGACACUGAACAUUGAGCCUUGAUGUGUAGGAUAGGUGGGAGGCUUUGAAGUGUGGACGCCAGUCUGCAUGGAGCCGGCCUUGAAAUACCACCCUUUAAUGUUUGAUGUUCUAACGUGGACCCGUGAUCCGGGUUGCGGACAGUGUCUGGUGGGUAGUUUGACUGGGGCGGUCUCCUCCUAAAGAGUAACGGAGGAGCACGAAGGUUGGCUAAUCCUGGUCGGACAUCAGGAGGUUAGUGCAAUGGCAUAAGCCAGCUUGACUGCGAGCGUGACGGCGCGAGCAGGUGCGAAAGCAGGUCAUAGUGAUCCGGUGGUUCUGAAUGGAAGGGCCAUCGCUCAACGGAUAAAAGGUACUCCGGGGAUAACAGGCUGAUACCGCCCAAGAGUUCAUAUCGACGGCGGUGUUUGGCACCUCGAUGUCGGCUCAUCACAUCCUGGGGCUGAAGUAGGUCCCAAGGGUAUGGCUGUUCGCCAUUUAAAGUGGUACGCGAGCUGGGUUUAGAACGUCGUGAGACAGUUCGGUCCCUAUCUGCCGUGGGCGCUGGAGAACUGAGGGGGGCUGCUCCUAGUACGAGAGGACCGGAGUGGACGCAUCACUGGUGUUCGGGUUGUCAUGCCAAUGGCACUGCCCGGUAGCUAAAUGCGGAAGAGAUAAGUGCUGAAAGCAUCUAAGCACGAAACUUGCCCCCGAGAUGAGUUCUCCCUGAGACUUAGAGUCUCCUGAAGGAACGUUGAAGACGACGACGUUGAUAGGCCGGGUGUGUAAGCGCAGCGAUGCGUUGAGCUAACCGGUACUAAUGAACCGUGAGGCUUAACCUU